GGGUUGUGAGGUUAAGCGACUAAGCGUACACGGUGGAUGCCCUGGCAGUCAGAGGCGAUGAAGGGCGUGCUAAUCUGCGAUAAGCGCCGGUAAGGUGAUAUGAACCGUUAUAACCGGCGAUACCCGAAUGGGGAAACCCAGUGUGACUCGUCACACUAUCAUUAACUGAAUCCAUAGGUUAAUGAGGCGAACCGGGGGAACUGAAACAUCUAAGUACCCCGAGGAAAAGAAAUCAACCGAGAUUCCCCCAGUAGCGGCGAGCGAACGGGGAGGAGCCCAGAGCCUGAAUCAGCAUGUGUGUUAGUGGAAGCGUCUGGAAAGGCGCGCGAUACAGGGUGACAGCCCCGUACACAAAAGCGCAUGUGCUGUGAGCUCGAUGAGUAGGGCGGGACACGUGGUAUCCUGUCUGAAUAUGGGGGGACCAUCCUCCAAGGCUAAAUACUCCUGACUGACCGAUAGUGAACCAGUACCGUGAGGGAAAGGCGAAAAGAACCCCGGCGAGGGGAGUGAAAAAGAACCUGAAACCGUGUACGUACAAGCAGUGGGAGCACCCUUUGGGGUGUGACUGCGUACCUUUUGUAUAAUGGGUCAGCGACUUAUAUUCUGUAGCAAGGUUAACCGUAUAGGGGAGCCGGAGGGAAACCGAGUCUUAAUUGGGCGUUAAGUUGCAGGGUAUAGACCCGAAACCCGGUGAUCUAGCCAUGGGCAGGUUGAAGGUUGGGUAACACUAACUGGAGGACCGAACCGACUAAUGUUGAAAAAUUAGCGGAUGACCUGUGGCUGGGGGUGAAAGGCCAAUCAAACCGGGAGAUAGCUGGUUCUCCCCGAAAGCUAUUUAGGUAGCGCCUCGUGAAUUCAUCUCCGGGGGUAGAGCACUGUUUCGGCUAGGGGGCCAUCCCGGCUUACCAACCCGAUGCAAACUGCGAAUACCGGAGAAUGUUAUCACGGGAGACACACGGCGGGUGCUAACGUCCGUCGUGAAGAGGGAAACAACCCAGACCGCCAGCUAAGGUCCCAAAGUCAUGGUUAAGUGGGAAACGAUGUGGGAAGGCCCAGACAGCCAGGAUGUUGGCUUAGAAGCAGCCAUCAUUUAAAGAAAGCGUAAUAGCUCACUGGUCGAGUCGGCCUGCGCGGAAGAUGUAACGGGGCUAAACCAUGCACCGAAGCUGCGGCAGCGACGCUUAUGCGUUGUUGGGUAGGGGAGCGUUCUGUAAGCCUGUGAAGGUGUGUCGUGAGGCAUGCUGGAGGUAUCAGAAGUGCGAAUGCUGACAUAAGUAACGAUAAAGCGGGUGAAAAGCCCGCUCGCCGGAAGACCAAGGGUUCCUGUCCAACGUUAAUCGGGGCAGGGUGAGUCGACCCCUAAGGCGAGGCCGAAAGGCGUAGUCGAUGGGAAACGGGUUAAUAUUCCCGUACUUGGUGUUACUGCGAAGGGGGGACGGAGAAGGCUAUGUUGGCCGGGCGACGGUUGUCCCGGUUUAAGCGUGUAGGUGUGUGUUCCAGGUAAAUCCGGUUCACUUUAACACUGAGGCGUGACGACGAGGCACUACGGUGCUGAAGCAACAAAUGCCCUGCUUCCAGGAAAAGCCUCUAAGCAUCAGGUAACAUCAAAUCGUACCCCAAACCGACACAGGUGGUCAGGUAGAGAAUACCAAGGCGCUUGAGAGAACUCGGGUGAAGGAACUAGGCAAAAUGGUGCCGUAACUUCGGGAGAAGGCACGCUGACACGUAGGUGAAGUGAUUUACUCAUGGAGCUGAAGUCAGUCGAAGAUACCAGCUGGCUGCAACUGUUUAUUAAAAACACAGCACUGUGCAAACACGAAAGUGGACGUAUACGGUGUGACGCCUGCCCGGUGCCGGAAGGUUAAUUGAUGGGGUCAGCGCAAGCGAAGCUCCUGAUCGAAGCCCCGGUAAACGGCGGCCGUAACUAUAACGGUCCUAAGGUAGCGAAAUUCCUUGUCGGGUAAGUUCCGACCUGCACGAAUGGCGUAAUGAUGGCCAGGCUGUCUCCACCCGAGACUCAGUGAAAUUGAACUCGCUGUGAAGAUGCAGUGUACCCGCGGCAAGACGGAAAGACCCCGUGAACCUUUACUAUAGCUUGACACUGAACAUUGAGCCUUGAUGUGUAGGAUAGGUGGGAGGCUUUGAAGCGUGGACGCCAGUCUGCGUGGAGCCGACCUUGAAAUACCACCCUUUAAUGUUUGAUGUUCUAACGUGGACCCGUAAUCCGGGUUGCGGACAGUGUCUGGUGGGUAGUUUGACUGGGGCGGUCUCCUCCUAAAGAGUAACGGAGGAGCACGAAGGUUGGCUAAUCCUGGUCGGACAUCAGGAGGUUAGUGCAAUGGCAUAAGCCAGCUUGACUGCGAGCGUGACGGCGCGAGCAGGUGCGAAAGCAGGUCAUAGUGAUCCGGUGGUUCUGAAUGGAAGGGCCAUCGCUCAACGGAUAAAAGGUACUCCGGGGAUAACAGGCUGAUACCGCCCAAGAGUUCAUAUCGACGGCGGUGUUUGGCACCUCGAUGUCGGCUCAUCACAUCCUGGGGCUGAAGUAGGUCCCAAGGGUAUGGCUGUUCGCCAUUUAAAGUGGUACGCGAGCUGGGUUUAGAACGUCGUGAGACAGUUCGGUCCCUAUCUGCCGUGGGCGCUGGAGAACUGAGGGGGGCUGCUCCUAGUACGAGAGGACCGGAGUGGACGCAUCACUGGUGUUCGGGUUGUCAUGCCAAUGGCACUGCCCGGUAGCUAAAUGCGGAAGAGAUAAGUGCUGAAAGCAUCUAAGCACGAAACUUGCCCCGAGAUGAGUUCUCCCUGAGACUUAGAGUCUCCUGAAGGAACGUUGAAGACGACGACGUUGAUAGGCCGGGUGUGUAAGCGCAGCGAUGCGUUGAGCUAACCGGUACUAAUGAACCGUGAGGCUUAACCUUACAACGCCGAAG
rnacentral:rRNA from 1 species